rnacentral:rRNA from 1 species
GUACUACUGACGCUGAGGCUCGAAAGUGCGGGAAUCAAACAGGAUUAGAUACCCUGGUAGUCCGCACCGUAAACGAUGGACACUCGUGGUUGGCCCUUGUGGUCAGUCACCCAGCGAAAGCGUUAAGUGUCCCACCUGGGGAGUACGCCGGCAACGGUGAAACUCAAAGGAAUUGACGGGGGCCCGCACAAGCGGAGGAACAUGUGGUUUAAUUCGAUGAUACGCGAGGAACCUUACCCGGGCUUGAACUGCAGGAGAACGAUUCAGAGAUGAUGAGGUCCUUCGGGACUCCUGUGGAGGUGCUGCAUGGUUGUCGUCAGCUCGUGCCGUGAGGUGUCGGCUUAAGUGCCAUAACGAGCGCAACCCCUUUCUUCAGUUGCCAUCAGGUUAUGCUGGGCACUCUGGAGACACUGCCACCGUAAGGUGUGAGGAAGGUGGGGAUGACGUCAAAUCAGCACGGCCCUUACGUCCGGGGCUACACACGUGUUACAAUGGGUGGUACAGAGAGCGGGCUGCCUGCAAAGUCAGCCGAAUCAUGAAAGCCAUCCUCAGUUCGGAUUGGGGUCUGCAACCCGACCCCAUGAAGCUGGAUUCGCUAGU